AGUGAACGCUGGCGGUAGGCCUAACACAUGCAAGUCGAACGGCAGCACAGUAAGAGCUUGCUCUUACGGGUGGCGAGUGGCGGACGGGUGAGGAAUACAUCGGAAUCUACUUUUUCGUGGGGGAUAACGUAGGGAAACUUACGCUAAUACCGCAUACGACCUACGGGUGAAAGCAGGGGAUCUUCGGACCUUGCGCGAUUGAAUGAGCCGAUGUCGGAUUAGCUAGUUGGCGGGGUAAAGGCCCACCAAGGCGACGAUCCGUAGCUGGUCUGAGAGGAUGAUCAGCCACACUGGAACUGAGACACGGUCCAGACUCCUACGGGAGGCAGCAGUGGGGAAUAUUUGACAAUGGGCGCAAGCCUGAUCCAGCCAUACCGCGUGGGUGAAGAAGGCCUUCGGGUUGUAAAGCCCUUUUGUUGGGAAAGAAAAGCAGCAGGUUAAUACCCCGCUGUUCCGACGGUACCCAAAGAAUAAGCACCGGCUAACUUCGUG
rnacentral:rRNA from 1 species